AGAGUUUGAUCCUGGCUCAGAUUGAACGCUGGCGGAAUGCUUUACACAUGCAAGUCGAGCGGCAGCACGGGGGCAACCCUGGUGGCGAGCGGCGAACGGGUGAGUAACACAUCGGAACAUACCCAGUCGUGGGGGAUAACACUUCGAAAGAAGUGCUAAUACCGCAUACGUCCUGAGGGAGAAAGCGGGGGAUCUACGGACCUCGCGCGAUUGGAGUGGCCGAUGUCAGAUUAGCUAGUUGGUGGGGUAAAGGCCUACCAAGGCGACGAUCUGUAGCUGGUCUGAGAGGACGACCAGCCACACUGGGACUGAGACACGGCCCAGACUCCUACGGGAGGCAGCAGUGGGGAAUUUUGGACAAUGGGGGCAACCCUGAUCCAGCCAUUCCGCGUGAGUGAAGAAGGCCUUCGGGUUGUAAAGCUCUUUCGGCAGGAACGAAACGGCGCGCUCUAACAUAGCGCGUUAAUGACGGUACC
rnacentral:rRNA from 1 species